rnacentral:ncRNA from 1 species
AUAUGCUUCGACUGUCGCGGCAAAAUCCGUGACCGGGUUUAGCAGCCUGAAAC